rnacentral:rRNA from 1 species
CUAAAUACUACCCAGUGACCGAUAGCGUAUAGUACUGUGAAGGAAAGGUGAAAAGCACCCCGGGAGGGGAGUGAAAAAGAACCUGAAACCCUGUGCCUACAAGCACCUAGAGCACGUCAAUGUGUGAUAGGGUACUUUUUGUAGAACGGUCCGGCGAGCGAUUGUAUGCAGCAAGGUUAAGGACUUAAGGUCUGGAGCCGAAGCGAAAGCGAGUUUGAAAAGGGCGUUAAGUUGCAUAUAAUGGGCCCGAAACCGGGUGACCUACCCAUGGUCAGGUUGAAGUGGAAGUAAAAUUCCAUGGAGGACCGAACCGACCUCCGUUGAAAAGGCGGCGGAUGAACUGUGGGUAGCGGAGAAAUUCCAAUCGAACCCGGAGAUAGCUGGUUCUCCCCGAAAUAGUUUUAGGACUAGCCUCAAGUUAGAUACCUGGAGGUAAAGCACUGAAUAGCCUAGCGGCCGAGAGGUUAGCGAAGCUUAUCAAACUCAGAAUGCCAGAGUAUUGAUGCUUGGGAGUCAGACAGUGUCAGAUAAAUGUCAUUGUCAAAAGGGAAACAGCCCAGAUCUACAGCUAAGGUCCCAAAGUCAGGUUAAGUGGAAAACGAUGUGAAGAUACGUAGACAACCAGGAUGUUGGCUCAGAAGCAGCCACACAUUCAAAGAGUGCGUAAUAGCUCACUGGUCGAGCGUCUUUGCGCGGAGAAUUUAACGGGGCUAAACCUGACACCGAAGCUUAGGCAAUACAGCAAUGUAUUGGGUAGGGGAGCGUUGUAUACGCGGUGAAACAGUAGCGCAAGCGGCUGUGGAGUGUAUAGAAGUGAGAAUGCCGGAAUGAGUAGCGCGAAUGCAGUGAGAAUCUGCAUGGCCGAAAGCCUCAGGUUUCUGGAGGAAGGUUCGUCCGCUCCAGGUUAGUCGGGAGCUAAGGUGAGGCCUAACGGCGUAGCCGAUGCACAGACGGUAGAGAUUCCGUCACCACCAAAAGAGUUAAACACAGGGACACAUAUGAAGUCUCGGAGCCGGGUGUUGGUUCCGGUAGCGAUCGAGGGAAGUUAGUACCGAAGUCUGAGAUGGAAGAUGGCGAGAAAAGCUGUGUGUAUUUCUGAGGUGCCCGUACCGCAAACCGACACAGGUAGGUAGGAAGAAGAUUCUAAGGCCAACGGGAGAAGGGUUGUUAAGGAACUCGGCAAAUUGACCCCGUAACUUCGGGAGAAGGGGUGCUCCAGAGAUGGAGCCGCAGAGAAUCGGCCCAAGCAACUGUUUACCAAAAACACAGGUUUGUGCUAAAUCGAAAGAUGACGUAUACGAGCUGACGCCUGCCCGGUGCUGGAAGGUUAAAAGGAGAUGUGCAAGCAUUGAAUUGAAGCCCCAGUGAACGGCGGCCGUAACUAUAACGGUCCUAAGGUAGCGAAAUUCCUUGUCAGGUAAGUUCUGACCCGCAUGAAAGGCGUAAUGAUUUGGGCACUGUCUCAACAGCCCGCCCGGCGAAAUUGUAGUACCGGUGAAGAUGCCGGUUACCCGCGACAAGACG